UACGUAGGGUGCAAGCGUUGUCCGGAAUUAUUGGGCGUAAAGAGCUUGUAGGCGGUCCGGUAAGUCCGCUGUGAAAGUCGGGGGCUCAACCCUCGAAUGCCGGUGGAUACUGUCGGGCUAGAGUGCGGAAGAGGCGAGUGGAAUUCCUGGUGUAGCGGUGAAAUGCGCAGAUAUCAGGAGGAACACCAAUUGCGAAGGCAGCUCGCUGGGACGUUACUGACGCUGAGACGCGAAAGCGUGGGGAGCAAACAGG
rnacentral:rRNA from 1 species